GUGGGGAAUAUUGGACAAUGGGCGAAAGCCUGAUCUAGCCAUGCCGCGUGAGCGAUGAAGGCCUUAGGGUUGUAAAGCUCUUUCGCUGGGGAAGAUAAUGACUGUACCCAGUAAAGAAGCCCCGGCUAACUCCGUGCCAGCAGCCGCGGUAAUACGGAGGGGGCUAGCGUUGUUCGGAAUUACUGGGCGGAAAGCGCGCGUAGGCGGAUUGGAAAGUUGGGGGUGAAAUCCCGGGGCUCAACCUCGGAACUGCCUUCAAAACUCCCAGUCUUGAGUUCGAGAGAGGUGAGUGGAAUUCCGAGUGUAGAGGUGAAAUUCGUAGAUAUUCGGAGGAACACCAGUGGCGAAGGCGGCUCACUGGCUCGAUACUGACGCUGAGGUGCGAAAGCGUGGGGAGCAAACAGGAUUAGAUACCCCAGUAGUCC
rnacentral:rRNA from 1 species